GGAAGGAGUUCACCAACGCCAGCGUGACAGAUGCUUCCACACUGUCUCAAAAGACGCCAAUUGCAAUAGAGCAUUAUGAGAGGCGAAGAAAGCUGGUGGCUUUCCUUGCAUGGCGGCGCUGGAUCAAGCUGAAGAAGGAGUCACGGAUUGAGGCGGCGCGUAAAUUGGUGGGAGUUCUGACAGCCUGCGUCCUCAAACGCAUCAUAACCGCAUGGAAGGAGGUUGUUAGGGACUCACAGAGGACCAAGGGUUACUUUAAGAAGCUUCAAAAUGACCUGGAGACGGGGCGCCAGCAAGGCCAGAUUGGGGAAGGAUGCGACUGGCUCUCAGCCUUGCCCGCCCGCAUUUCACUGCAG